UGAACUGUAUCUUUUAAAAUCAUUUAUGACGAGCAGGUUUGGAAAUGGUCAAAUGGGUGAUUGGGAAAAGGUCAGUGUGGGAACUGGAACAAGUUAGGUGAGGGGUUGGGGAAAGGUUAGUGGCACUGGGAAAUGGCCACCGGGAAGACUAGGAGAUGACUAACGGGGUUGGGGUGGGAGUAGCCAAUCGUUCGAGAAUGGUCAGUGGGACUUAUGAUGCUCAGUCAAAGAAAGAUUAGAUGGUGGGGAUGCAGGUGGUUGGUGGAGUUGGGAUGAUUAGUUGUGGUGUUGCUGAUCUGUGGG